UUAAAGAUAGACUAAAUUUAAGUCUACAGAUUCAUAAUUUGUAAAUAAAGUUAAAAUUUUCUUUAAA
rnacentral:tRNA from 1 species